AGUGAACGCUGGCGGUAGGCCUAACACAUGCAAGUCGAACGGCAGCACAGUAAGAGCUUGCUCUUACGGGUGGCGAGUGGAGGACGGGUGAGGAAUACAUCGGAAUCUACUUUUUCGUGGGGGAUAACGUAGGGAAACUUACGCUAAUACCGCAUACGACCUACGGGUGAAAGCAGGGGAUCUUCGGACCUUGCGCGAUUGAAUGAGCCGAUGUCGGAUUAGCUAGUUGGCGGGGUAAAGGCCCACCAAGGCGACGAUCCGUAGCUGGUCUGAGAGGAUGAUCAGCCACACUGGAACUGAGACACGGUCCAGAGUCCUACGGGAGGCAGCAGUGGGGAAUAUUGGACAAUGGGCGCAAGCCUGAUCCAGCCAUACCGCGUGGGUGAAGAAGGCCUUCGGGUGGUAAAGCCCUUUUGUUGGGAAAGAAAAGCAGCAGGUUAAUACCCCGCUGUUCUGACGGUACCCAAAGAAUAAGCACCGGCUAACUUCGUG
rnacentral:rRNA from 1 species